UAAUACGUAGGGUGCGAGCGUUAAUCGGAAUUACUGGGCGUAAAGCGUGCGCAGGCGGUUUGUUAAGACAGGUGUGAAAUCCCCGGGCUUAACCUGGGAAUGGCGCUUGUAACUGGCAAGCUAGAGUGUGUCAGAGGGAGGUAGAAUUCCACGUGUAGCAGUGAAAUGCGUAGAGAUGUGGAGGAAUACCGAUGGCGAAGGCAGCCUCCUGGGAUAACACUGACGCUCAUGCACGAAAGCGUGGGGAGCAAACAGGAUUAGAUACCCUGGUAGUCCACGCCCUAAACGAUGUCAACUGGUUGUUGGGUGACUUGAUCACUUAGUAACGUAGCUAACGCGAGAAGUUGACCGCCUGGGGAGUACGGUCGCAAGAUUA
rnacentral:rRNA from 1 species